GACAGAGGGUGCAAACGUUGUUCGGAAUUACUGGGCGUAAAGCGAGUGUAGGCGGUUUCAUAAGUCGGGUGUGAAAGCCCCGGGCUCAACCCGGGAAGUGCACUCGAAACUGUGAGGCUAGAGUAUCGGAGAGGUUGGUGGAAUUCUCGGUGUAGAGGUGAAAUUCGUAGAUAUCGAGAGGAACACCGGUGGCGAAGGCGGCCAACUGGGCGAAUACUGACGCUGAGACUCGAAAGCGUGGGGAGCAAACAGG
rnacentral:rRNA from 1 species